UACGGAGGGUGCAAACGUUGCUCGGAAUCAUUGGGCGUAAAGGGUGCGUAGGCGGCCUUUUAAGUCGGAUGUGAAAGCCCUCGGCUCAACCGAGGAAGUGCAUUCGAAACUGGAAGGCUUGAGUACCGGAGAGGGUGACGGAAUUCCCGGUGUAGAGGUGAAAUUCGUAGAUAUCGGGAGGAACACCAGCGGCGAAGGCGGUCACCUGGACGGAUACUGACGCUGAGGCACGAAAGCGUGGGGAGCAAACAGG
rnacentral:misc_RNA from 1 species